UUCCCUUCUUUACAAGGUGUUCCUUUUUGCUGUUUGCAUUUUUUCCGUGUAUGACCUCUUUUGCCCGUUUCUCCGAUUGUGAUUUUUGUCUCCUAUAUUUUUGUCUCCUAUAUUGAUCUGCCGUGCUUCGACCCUGGACUGUCUUAUCUCUCUGGUCCUCUGGAUGAGGGUUCACCCGAUGACUUUCCACCCACGGCAGUUGAAGUAGAGGGCUCGUCCACGUUUGCUGUGCAGGAGGUACUGGAUUCCUGGAGGCGUGGUGGGACCCUUCAGUAUCUUAUCAACUGGGAGUGAUAUGGUCCCGAGGAGCAUUGCUGGGUGGCUGCCAAGGACGUGCUGGAUCCUGGUCUUGUCGCAGACUUCCAUGCUUGCUGUCCGGAUGGGCCAGCACCCAGACCUAGAGGAUGCAUGCUUUUGGCGAUUCCUUUCCAGUUCUACUCCAUGCCUGCCUGGUAAUGCCCCAGACUCUUGCAUCACACAUUCCACUGAUCACAUGACUCUCACCAGAUCUGUGACCUGAAUUUUAGAUUACCUUCACCUGUUUCUUCCAGUAUAUAUACUUUCUUGUUUCCAGUGUUUCCUAGCUGAGUAUUGUUUGUGGUUCAUUCCCUUCUUUACAAGGUGUUCCUUUUUGCUGUUUGCAUUUUUUCUGUGUAUGACCUCUUUUGUCCAUUUCUCAGAUUGUGAUUUUUGCCUUGUCUCCUUUAUUGAUCUGCCAUGCUUUAACCCUGCACUGUCUUAUCUCUCUGGUAUGUUUUGCGUUUGGUUUAUUUGGUUAACAUUACGAUUCUGCUGAACUGUUCUUGACUACUCUUUUGGAUUUGCCCCUUUUAAUAAAGCCUCAGUAAUCUA